CGGCGGUCCGUGGUGGGCCGACGGAGCAACGGUGGUGCAGCCGCAUGCGGCAGCAUGUGGCCCGACCGUGGGAGCGCGUCUCAAGCCCGAGUGCUAGUGUGGAGGCAUAGCCUAGGCCCAGGCGCGCGCAUGCGGGCGUGGCCCAGGUCCACGCGCACGCACGCAGGGAUCAGGAGCUUGGGUAUCCCAGUCCAUGGUGGAUCGGGUGGUGCACAAGCGAGCAUAUGGACUGCAAGACUGUUUCCCCUCGAUUUCUCACGGUCCAUCAUGGAUUGGGCGACGUUUCUCCUUAGUUUCUUGCGGUCUACAGGUUAUUCUGUGGACCGAAGGCGCGAUCGGAUGGUGGUUUGAUCUCCCGAUGAUGAUCCAACGGCUGAAAAUUUUUUACGAUUCAUUUUGGGCAUGAUCCAGUGCCGUUUGAUGAAGAUCUGAUGGCCGUGAAGCUUCACAGGUCCCAUUAGAAGUUGGAUUCCGAUGUACCUUGGGUUUUAAGCCUUUAUAAGGCCCUGUUCACAAACAGAGGUGGUGUCUGGUGAUUUCGUUCGACAGAACACCCGAGAACAGAGGUGACGAGGCGUCGAGAGGAGCAGGAGUAGGACUUCACGUAGAUUAUUGGAUAGCGGAUAUCGAUCGCUUCAGAGGUUUAAGAGGAUCUUUUUAGAGAGAGUUUUUGUGAGGGAGAGCUUCAUAUGAUGGAGAGAUUUGAUGUACAAGGGUUGAGUGUGUGAUCUCUUCUUGUAAUGUUUCUUUUUUCUCAUAGUGAAACUUGCAUGCCCCA
rnacentral:lncRNA from 1 species